GACAGAGGGUGCAAACGUUGUUCGGAAUUACUGGGCGUAAAGCGUGUGUAGGCGGCUACGCAAGUCGGAUGUGAAAGCCCUGGGCUCAACUCAGGAAGUGCACCCGAUACUGCGAAGCUAGAGUACCGGAGAGGUUGGUAGAAUUCUCGGUGUAGAGGUGAAAUUCGUAGAUAUCGAGAGGAAUACCUGUGGCGAAGGCGGCCAACUGGACGAGUACUGACGCUGAGACACGAAAGCGUGGGGAGCAAACAGG
rnacentral:rRNA from 1 species